ACACUUACCUGGCCGGGGAGACACCGAGAUCAGGAGGGCGGUUUUCCCAGGGCAAGGCUUAUCCAUCGCACUCCGGGUGUGCUGAGCCCUGCGGCUUGUGACUGUGAGAAACUCGACGGCUUAAUUUGUGGUAGUGGGGGACAGCGUUCCCACUCUCCCCUA